rnacentral:rRNA from 1 species
GUGUCAGCCGCCGCGGUAAUACGUAGGGUGCGAGCGUUAAUCGGAAUUACUGGGCGUAAAGCGUGCGCAGGCGGCCUGAUAAGUCAGAUGUGAAAUCCCCGAGCUCAACUUGGGAACUGCGUUUGAAACUAUCAAGCUAGAAUAUGUCAGAGGGGGGUAGAAUUCCACGUGUAGCAGUGAAAUGCGUAGAGAUGUGGAGGAAUACCAAUGGCGAAGGCAGCCCCCUGGGAUAAUAUUGACGCUCAUGCACGAAAGCGUGGGGAGCAAACAGGAUUAGAAACCCGAGUAGUCC